rnacentral:pre_miRNA from 2 species
AGCUCUGAUUGUCCAAACGCAAUUCUUGUUUAAUAUUUAAAAAUCCAAGGAUUGUGAGUGGGCAUCGUUGCUC